rnacentral:rRNA from 1 species
GACAGAGGGUGCAAACGUUGUUCGGAAUUACUGGGCGUAAAGCGGGUGUAGGCGGUUUGGUAAGUCGGAUGUGAAAGCCCCGGGCUCAACCCGGGAAGUGCACUCGAUACUGCCAAGCUAGAGUAUCGGAGAGGUUGGUGGAAUUCUCGGUGUAGAGGUGAAAUUCGUAGAUAUCGAGAGGAACACCGGUGGCGAAGGCGGCCAACUGGACGAAUACUGACGCUGAGACUCGAAAGCGUGGGGAGCAAACGGG